rnacentral:lncRNA from 1 species
UGGAUAGGUCGAAAAAUUUGCAAAGCAACAUUCAAGAACCUAUUGGCAUAUGGUUAUCGUAUAAUUCAUCCAUUUGACCUUAAUGCUAAAGGUAACCAAGGGUUUAACUGUCAAUCCUAAAAAGAUUAUCCACAUUAUAUUUCAACUUUCAAAUCUAUCACAUGGACUACCCCAACCGAGGUUUUACUAAAUUGAAACAC